AUCGAACGCUGGCGGCAGGCUUAACACAUGCAAGUCGAGCGUGCGGCGGACGGGUGAGUCAUGUCUGGGACACUGCCUGAUGGAGGGGGAUACCUACUGGAAACGGUAGCUAAUACCGCAUACCAUCAGAUGUGCCUAGAUGGGAUUUGCGUGUAGGUGGGGUAAUGGCUCACCUAGGCCACUAUCCCUAGCUGGUCUGAGAGGAUGACCACACACACUGGAACUGAGACACGGUCCAGACUCCUACGGGAGGAAGCAGUGGGGAAUAUUGCACAAUGGGCGCAAGCCGGAUGCGGCCAUGCCGGGGGUGGGAAGAAGGCCUUCGGGUUGUAAAGCACUUUCAGCGAGGAGGCGUUACUCGCAGAAGAAGCACCGGCUAACUCCGUGCCAGCAGCCGCGGUAAUUC
rnacentral:rRNA from 1 species